rnacentral:tRNA from 1 species
CAGAAUGUGUCGCAGUUCGGUUAGCGAGCCUGUUUUGGGAACAGGAAGACAUGCGUUCAAAUCGUGUCAUUCUGUA